rnacentral:rRNA from 1 species
ACUGGAAUGAACGGCUAAAUGAGGACUAAACUGUCUCUUGCGAGCUAGUCAAUGAAAUUGAUUUUCCAGUACAAAAGCUGGAAUAGACCCAUAAGACGAAAAGACCCUGUGGAGCUUAAAAACCAGAUUCAUUAAGAAUGUUUCCUCGGAUUUUCAGUUGGGGCGACUUCGGAGUACCAAAAAACCUCCGAAAAAUGUUAAACUUAUAUUAAGAUCAACACACCAAAAUACAUAUAGACCCAGCAAUUUUUACAAAUAUGUCUGACCAAUGAACCAAGUUACCCCAGGGAUAACAGCGCCAUCCCCUUUUAGAGUCCCUAUCGACAAGGGGGUUUACGACCUCGAUGUUGGAUUAGGACACCCCAAUGGUGCAGCCGCCAUUAAAG